rnacentral:rRNA from 1 species
GUGGCGGACGGGUGAGUAACACGUGGGAACGUGCCUUUAGGUUCGGAAUAGCUCCUGGAAACGGGUGGUAAUGCCGAAUGUGCCCUUCGGGGGAAAGAUUUAUCGCCUUUAGAGCGGCCCGCGUCUGAUUAGCUAGUUGGUAAGGUAAUGGCUUACCAAGGCGACGAUCAGUAGCUGGUCUGAGAGGAUGAUCAGCCACAUUGGGACUGAGACACGGCCCAAACUCCUACGGGAGGCAGCAGUGGGGAAUCUUGCGCAAUGGGCGAAAGCCUGACGCAGCCAUGCCGCGUGAAUGAUGAAGGUCUUAGGAUUGUAAAAUUCUUUCACCGGGGACGAUAAUGACGGUACCCGGAGAAGAAGCCCCGGCUAACUUCGUGCCAGCAGCCGCGGUAAUACGAAGGGGGCUAGCGUUGCUCGGAAUUACUGGGCGUAAAGGGCGCGUAGGCGGAUCGUUAAGUCAGAGGUGAAAUCCCGGAGCUCAACUUCGGAAUUGCCUUUGAUACUGGCGAUCUUGAGUGUGAGAGAGGUAUGUGGAACUCCGAGUGUAGAGGUGAAAUUCGUAGAUAUUCGGAAGAACACCAGUGGCGAAGGCGACAUAC